rnacentral:rRNA from 1 species
GACGAACGCUGGCGGCGUGCUUAACACAUGCAAGUCGAACGGUGAAGCGCCUUCCUUUUUGGUGGGUGUGGAUGAGUGGCGAACGGGUGAGUAACACGUGAGUAACCUGCCCCCUUCUUCUGGAUAACCGCAUGAAAGUGUGGCUAAUACGGGAUAUUCUGGGUCUGUCGCAUGAUGGGUCUGGGAAAGAUAUUGUUUCGGUGGGGGAUGGGCCCGCGGCCUAUCAGCUUGUUGGUGGGGUGAUGGCCUACCAAGGCGGUGACGGGUAGCCGGCCUGAGAGGGUGGACGGUCACACUGGGACUGAGACACGGCCCAGACUCCUACGGGAGGCAGCAGUGGGGAAUAUUGCACAAUGGGCGCAAGCCUGAUGCAGCGACGCCGCGUGAGGGACGGAGGCCUGCGGGUUGUGAACCUCUUUCGCCAGUGAAGCAGGCCUGCCUCGUUUGUGGGUGGGUUGACGGUAGCUGGAUAAGAAGCGCCGGCUAACUACGUG